ACUAGAAUUGAAUAAAAAGGAUUUGUCGCUUUCAGCAUGGAGAGAUGCACGGAGACCGUUUUGGUCACAGUCUGAGCAACUACAGCUGCCAUUCCUGCCUCCUGCCCUAUCACAGUGCUUCUGUUUCAUUUUCUGCUUCAUUUGAUAAUACAACAAUUAUUUUCACAGACAUCAUCUCUCCACGUUAAUCGAGUACUGCACCGGGUCUACCAGGCGAUAAACAAAUGAAAAAGAAACAAACCAGAUGAUAAACAAAUGGAAAAGGAACAACCUACGACACAGAAAAACGGAAAGAACAAUAGCUAGCCUUCUCAGCCUCUUUUGCUUUUGUCGCUUCGAUGCUUUUGCUUUACUUCUUUCAACAAACAGCAAGAAAAAGUAAUCUCACACAUGGUGGAAAACUUGACAUGAUGCCUGGCCCCUUGCGGUGCUGCGUCUCUUCUCGAUGCGCGAGCCAAAAACAGAGAAAACAAAAGCGAAAGCCAGGCCGGCGCGCAUGUGAAUGAGAAGUUACAAAGGAAUAGAAUAAAGAGAAUAUGAUACAAAGUCUUGUUUGGGAAGGAGAGGGAGGGCGCACACAGAGUACUCAGAGAACAGGAGCUUUGAACUACGGUGCAAAAAAUUUUCCUAGAUUUGAGGUUGGGGUCUGAAGCAGGAGAGGGUUAAACUUAGUUAAGAUGCAGUUAGUGGAUUUGGUUUGUCAGAAAAGGGAUUUUGCCACGCGUGCCUCUGCCAUCUGACCUGACCUGACCUCACCUGCUGCUGUGGUUUGCCCGAUGUUUCAUGCAAUUUAAUUCAAAGGAAAUAAUGUAACCCGGACAGAGAGGAGAGAGAGAGAGCGGAGGAGAGAAAAACGUAACAAUUUGGUUGUGGAGGGAGAGAGGAAUUUGUGGCUGUCUAAAGAUUUCUAAUUUGGGCGGGAGAAGGGAAGCGAGAAAAGGGGCGGAAUUCGCGAGAUUUGUUACAGCUCAGCGUGGGGUUUAUUAGACGUGUGCGUUUGCACUGCGAACUGUAUUCGCCAUUGCAUUUAAAGUGCGUCCAAAACCAUAUCAGAUCCGCAGCUGUUUGUGACAUUUUACGUUUUCGAUAACUACACGUGUGGACCGUCGUAGAUGUUUGUUUAACAAGCACUCCUGCUGCAACGAACUCGAAGGAAAUGUCAGUUCUAGUAUUAUGAAUAGUUUGAUUCGACAAUGGAAGAUUUCAGAGGCAGUUGCAGGUUCCCUAUUGAGAUAAUUGCAAAUGUUGUUUAACAAAGCUCCUUCAUAGAAGAUUUCUGGGUUCUAACACUCAAAAGAAUUGCCUCCAAUAAUUUUCACCAGGUGUGAGCUGUGUCUGUUAAUAAAAUGGAUCUUUCUUCACAUUCAAUACACAUCAAAUCUGGCAUGGAUGCACAGGCAGAGGAGGAGGCAGAUGACAGGGGUUGCAGACGAAGAAAAGCUUGCAUUAGCAUUGGGGUGAGCAAAGGAAAAUAGCAGAGCCUGUACAAUCUGAAACUCUCAUAAGUCCAUAUCAUUUGGGGAGUUGUGAUUUUGGAAAUGCGGUUUUCUCACCAUGGGUUUUUUCUCUAAAACUCGUUUUCCGUUUGUGAUAUUGGCUGAACGGCUCAAUCUUUUUAUAUAAGAAUCAGAUGUAUAUCAUUAAAAAGAGGACACCCCAUAAUAUAUAUAAUUCUUUAUAGACUACUGGUGAUGUAUAAUUAUUGUUACAGUACAAAUGAAAAGAUUAACCUCAGAUUAUUGUUAGCUACUGAGGAUGCAAGGAUCAAUUAUAAUAAACGCUGCGAUUAUCUUUUUAAAUGUUUUUACUACCCCUUAUUUAUGGAGGAGAAAGCAUGUACAAGAAGCAAUGUCAAGCGGGAGACUGAGAUCCGAUUCAAACUGUAACUUUGGAUGUUUUUCUUUUUCAGCGAAAGAAAUCAAUCUUCGCAAGUCAGCAGCUCUAUAUAAAAUUUAAGUGUUCUACGCUUCUGAGUUAUUGUAUUCCACUUUUACAGAAAAAUCUUGAUAUGGUUUAGUUAUACUCGUUAUCCAUUAAUGGAUUUCGUGCAUUUUUUUCUCGCCUCUUUUGGCUUAACCCUCUCAUUUUUUGAUGGUGAAACUGUUUGCAAAGACAAAAUCUCAUUUUAACUAGAAUUUCAGUUAAAGGCA